AACGAACGCUGGCGGCAUGCCUAACACAUGCAAGUCGAACGAGACCUUCGGGUCUAGUGGCGCACGGGUGCGUAACGCGUGGGAACCUGCCCUUAGGUUCGGAAUAACUCCCCGAAAGGGGUGCUAAUACCGGAUAAUGUCUUCGGACCAAAGAUUUAUCGCCUUUGGAUGGGCCCGCGUUGGAUUAGCUAGUUGGUAGGGUAAAAGCCUACCAAGGCGACGAUCCAUAGCUGGUCUGAGAGGAUGAUCAGCCACACUGGGACUGAGACACGGCCCAGACUCCUACGAGAGGCAGCAGUGGGGAAUAUUGGACAAUGGGCGAAAGCCUGAUCCAGCAAUGCCGCGUGAGUGAUGAAGGCCUUAGGGUUGUAAAGCUCUUUUACCCGGGAUGAUAAUGACAGUACCGGGAGAAUAAGCUCCGGCUAACUCCGU
rnacentral:rRNA from 1 species